rnacentral:rRNA from 1 species
CCCCGUACACAAAAGCGCAUGUGCUGUGAGCUCGAUGAGUAGGGCGGGACACGUGGUAUCCUGUCUGAAUAUGGGGGGACCAUCCUCCAAGGCUAAAUACUCCUGACUGACCGAUAGUGAACCAGUACCGUGAGGGAAAGGCGAAAAGAACCCCGGCGAGGGGAGUGAAAAAGAACCUGAAACCGUGUACGUACAAGCAGUGGGAGCACAGGUUUACCUGUGUGACUGCGUACCUUUUGUAUAAUGGGUCAGCGACUUAUAUUCUGUAGCAAGGUUAACCGUAUAGGGGAGCCGKAGGGAAACCGAGUCUUAAYYGGGCGUUAAGUUGCAGGGUAUAGACCCGAAACCCGGUGAUCUAGCC